GAGAUUAGCCCAUCACCGAAGUCCGGUGCUAUUGCAUACAGGACAAUGUGGUGUUAAGGCAUGUACCUGGGACUGCGAAUCUACCCGAAGUCCAACUCCGAUUGUGGCUUUGGAUAUUGCCCAAAGCGGGUGAGAGGCCCGUACGGGUAGAUUCUUGUUGUUAUGCAGUCCUCAGAUGUGCGUGCUUUCGAGUCGGAUUGCUUGAGAAUGCAGUCCAAAGUGGGUGGUAAACUCCAUCCAAGGCUAAAUACUGGCACGAGUCCGAUAGUAGACAAGUACCGUGAGGGAAAGUUGAAAAGUACUCUGAAGAGAGAGUAAAUAGCACGUGAAGCCGGUUGCAGGGAAGCUGGUGGAGUCAAGCUUCAUGCUUGAGAAAUUUGUGCAAGUAGUAUUUUGUUGAUUGUAUUCAUGGCCGAUCAACUUGGAAUAAGUUGGGCGCAUUCGUGUGCCUCAAGUCAUUCUGGGUAGUGUGUUUGUGCUGGUCAUGAUAAACUGCUGCUUGUACUCUAUUUCUUGUUGCAUAAAUCACGGUCUAUAGCCUUGUGUUGACGUGCUGUAUGAUUGUCUAACUGUGCUACGGCAAGCUUUCAGUUUGUCGGGUACAGGAUGGCAGGUUGAGGCUUCAGGCCUUGUGUCUGUUAGUCUCUUAUAGUGGUUUUGACCAGCUGAUAAUCAUGCAGUAUCGUGGCUAUAGUUGUUCUGUUGAUACACAGUUUAUGAGCUGCGUACCAGUAAGAACCGUGAUUCUGAGGUAGACGUUCCACCCGACCCGUCUUGAAACACGGACCAAGGAGUUUAACAUGUACGCAAGUCAAUGGGCAUAUUAUGAAACCCAAAGGCGCAAUGAAAGUGAAAGGGCUACUGUGGUCCUUAGGUGUGAUUUCAGUUUGCCCUAACAAGGCGAUUGAACGCAGCACCGGCCCGUCUUCUGAUGUUGUCAUAUUGGCCAUGGCUAGUGUGCGUCAUUGAGGCGGAGCAAGAGCGUACAGGUUGAGACCCGAAAGAUGGUG
rnacentral:rRNA from 1 species